rnacentral:lncRNA from 1 species
GAGGACCGUAUUCAUGGAAGAGGAUCGAACAGACUACUGAGUUCUUAUGAGAAGAAUGGCUCUUAAGAAAUUGAAGGUGAUACCAAAGGAAGGUUACUUAUUACUUUUGGACUUUGAUGAUGAGGACGAUGACAUAAAAGUUUCAGAGGAGGCUCUUUCGGAAGAGAUGAAGUAGACAGUAUGUUGGAUAAAUCUGGAGUAAACAACCCAGCAAUUGGUAAAGAUGAAAAUAUAUCGCCUCAAGUAAAAGGAGUUGAAGACAUGGGGCUGCAUCAUUGGACUGAAAGUGAAUGGCCCAUGUGUUGCCACUGAUGUGAGACAUUUGCCUGUUGUCCUUCA